rnacentral:rRNA from 1 species
GGCGUGCUUAACACAUGCAAGUCGAGCGGAAAGGCCCUUCGGGGUACUCGAGCGGCGAACGGGUGAGUAACACGUGAGCAACCUGCCCCAGGCUUUGGGAUAACCCCGGGAAACCGGGGCUAAUACCGGAUAUGACCUUGCACCGCAUGGUGUUUGGUGGAAAGUUUUUCGGCUUGGGAUGGGCUCGCGGCCUAUCAGCUUGUUGGUGGGGUGAUGGCCUACCAAGGCGACGACGGGUAGCCGGCCUGAGAGGGCGACCGGCCACACUGGGACUGAGACACGGCCCAGACUCCUACGGGAGGCAGCAGUGGGGAAUAUUGCACAAUGGGCGGAAGCCUGAUGCAGCGACGCCGCGUGAGGGAUGACGGCCUUCGGGUUGUAAACCUCUUUCAGCAGGGACGAAGCGUAAGUGACGGUACCUGCAGAAGAAGCGCCGGCCAACUACGUGCCAGCAGCCGCGGUAAGACGUAGGGCGCGAGCGUUGUCCGGAUUUAUUGGGCGUAAAGAGCUCGUAGGCGGCUUGUCGCGUCGACCGUGAAAACCUGGGGCUCAACCCCAGGCCUGCGGUCGAUACGGGCAGGCUAGAGUUCGGUAGGGGAGACUGGAAUUCCUGGUGUAGCGGUGAAAUGCGCAGAUAUCAGGAGGAACACCGGUGGCGAAGGCGGGUCUCUGGGCCGAUACUGACGCUGAGGAGCGAAAGCGUGGGGAGCGAACAGGAUUAGAUACCCUGGUAGUCCACGCUGUAAACGUUGGGCGCUAGGUGUGGG